rfam:Dipodomys ordii contig_26595, whole genome shotgun sequence.
GGGAAGGUGGCUCAGUGGUAGAGCGCUUGCCUUGCAUGCAUGAGGCCCUGGGAUUGAUUCCUCAGCACCCCA